rnacentral:lncRNA from 1 species
AAAUAUGUUAUAAUUUCUAUGGCAGGAAAGAAAAUUAUGGAAGAUGAGAAUCCUGAUUUGUUGCUACAAUGUGAUAAUGAGAAUGCUGUGGAGAAUUUGAAUAUGUUAGACAACGAAGAUGUGGGAGGAGAUGUGGAGUCAGUGCCUAAGGUGGGCAUGACGUUUAGUGAUAAGAAGGAAAUGUUUGACUUUUACAAAAGAUAUGCUUAUGACGUAGAGUUUUCGAUGUGAAAAAGGAAUUCAAAAAAGGGAGAAGAUGGAGUUAUGAGAUACGUUAUGUUCACAUGUGGUGGGAAGGUCGACAAACUUAUACUACAGGCAGUUCCUUGAAACCGCAUCAACAAGUCAAACUAAUUGUAAAGCAAGAAUAUCUGCAUCUUUAGAUAGUCUGGGAAUAUGAAAGAUUAACAAAGUGUACCUUGACCACAAUUACAAAACAAGUUCGUCCAAGUCUAGGUUGUACUGAUGCAACCGAAAAUUAAGUACGAGUGUGAAACAAAAGCUCAAAGUGAAUGAUAUGGCAAGAAUUCCAUUGCAUAAGAGUUAUAACUCGACAGUUGUCGAAGCUGGUGGAUAUGAAAAUACGACUUUUGUGGAGAAAGAUUGUCGAAACUACAUUGAACAGGGGAGAGGUUUAUGCCUUGGGGAAGGAGAUACGCUCGCAAUACAGGCGUAUUUUUCAAAGAUGCAAGCACGGUGCUCUGAUUUUUACUUUAGUAUAGACUUGGACGAUGAAGGUAGACUCAAGAAUAUUUUUUGGGUAGACGACAGAUGUAGGCAAUCUUACAAGGAGUUUGGUGAUGUUGUCACCUUUGAUAUUCCCUAUCUUACUAAUAAGUACGACAUGUCGUUUGGCCUUUUUGUUGGCCUGAAUCACCAUGGACGAUCUACAUUGCUCGCCUGUGGAUUGUUAUCGAAUGAAGACACAGGGACUUUCGUGUGGUUGUUCAGAACAUGACUUGAGUGUAUGCACGGUCAAGCUCCUACUAGAAUCAUUACUGAUCAAGAUCGGACGAUGCAAAAUGCCAUUGAGAUUGUUUUUCCGAACAUGAGGCAUAGGUGGUGUUUGUGGCACAUUAUGAAAAAAUUACCAGAAAAAUUUGGAUACCAUAUUCGGAAGAGCUCGAUAUUUUCUGCUAUAUAUGGACUAGUAUACGAUUCUAAGGAUGUGCAACAAUUUGAAGAUGGUUGGAGGUUGAUGCUCGAUAUAUAUGAGUUGUAUGACAGUAACUGGCUAUCAGGAUUAUACUAGAACAGAGGUCGUUUGGAUGCCUUAUUUUUUGAAAACCAUGUUUUGGGUAGGCAUGUCGACGACACAGCUAAGCGACAGUAUGAAUGUAUUCUUCGAUGGGUAUGUGCAUUCAAAAACCUCAUUGAAGCAGUUUGUCGAGCAGUAUGAAAGAGCACUAAAAAAUAAGGUCGAGAAGGAGUUUCAGGAAGAUUUCAAGUUGUACUUUCAAAUGGUACCGUGUGCGACAACUUUCGUAAUGGAAAAGAAAUUUCAAGCAAUUUAUACCAUUUCAAAGUUCAAAGAAGUUCAGGAAGAGUUCACUGGAAAUGUGUAUUGCGAUGUCGUCUCCGAAAAUGUGAGUGACUAUUACUGGUUGGCCUACGAGAUCCGUGAGGAGAUCAUUGUUCACUUAUGAAAUGACAACUUCAGUUUCUCACUUAGGGAGACCAUUUUUUGAGGUUUGAUUACUUCAUUUUGCAGGCAGUUCGGAAGUUACGAAGAAGUGAAGGUGCCAAUUCAAAGAAAAUGAAGGUUGCUACAGAAUGCUAUUUCAUCAAGAUGUCAAGCUAUAUGUAUUUUGCUAAUUUGAUACUGUGUACCAAAUAGGAAGUUGGUAAUUUGCUAAUGUGUUGUAUGGUCCCACCAGUUUAGGUGGCCAAAUUCUCAUCAUGUCAAUGUGAUUUGAAAUAUUCUUGGUAUUCUGCUCAAGAAAAUGAC